AGUGUGAAAGAGUAAUAUAAAAUUAAUUCUAAACAGAAACUCUGCCAGAUGUUCCCUAGCGUCUCUGGGCAGUUUAAGAGCAGAAUUGGUAUUUUCAGAUAGACGCAGAAGAGAGGAGUUACAAAUCAGAGGACAUUUUCAGUUUAAUCAACCUGAAAUGUUGGCUGCACCUGUAUACAGGAUGCCAUGACUGUGCGAGGCAUCAGUACGUAUGGGAAGCUGGGUGGGCAUAGCAGCUCGUUUCAGAAAGGGUGCGCUUGGAUGCGCUGAGGGCUGCACCAAAGAGCUGGGGCUUUUUGGCUUGGGCAUAGCAUGUUGUGUGCUGCAUUGCUAACAUUGUGCCCAUCUCACCUGGUUCCAGCAAUACCCGCCAGGUGUAAGAGAGAUCUGCGAGCAGCAAUCUCAACAGAGGAAAUAUUCAUUUACUGUACAGCAUGUCCGCCUCUCUUGCUAGUCUCCCCUGAAUAUGGCUUGGCAGCAUAUUGGUUGGUGUCCAGCAGAGAAAAUGGGUUUGACAUCCUUGAAUGAGAACAGUAGUUGCAUCUGCCUAAGGUAGGGUUGAAAACCUGGUUUCAUCUAUAACCCACUUAUUUCAAAUGUCUCUUAACUUUCUCAGACUUACGCCAUUGGGACAGGAAUUUUCCAUGCCAGCUCUGCACCCAAAGCACAUUGUUUUAUUGAGAUAUUUGGGAUCUCUCCUAUUCUAUGAGCAAGGCUCCCUAGAGCACCACAUCUCCCACAACAUAACGAAUACUUUCCUGUGACCAAGCCAGCUGGUGCAUGACAAGCAGGUAAAUCCCAUGAGGCAAAUGGAGGCACUGGGCUCCUGAAUGACUCUCAUGGAGGCGCUGUGCCAAAGAAGGCAAGUACUGAAUACCAGGAUCUCUCUCAGAAUGACACGUUACGAAACAGCUUAACACGCUGAAAUGAAGCACUUAAUUUGGAGAAUGUCAGAACAACUAUGUUUUGUGUCUGAAGACAUAUGAAAACACUGGAAUCUUCUUGGGUGCAUUCAUUCUACAUAACCAUCAGCUCUGCUCCAAUGCCUUUUCUUUGGACUCAGGUCCUAAGAAGUGCAACUCACUCAGCAUUGUUUGAUCAAUCCCCCCAAUUCCUUUGCUGUGUCAGACACCUUCCCAGUAGUCUUUACUCUUGAACAUCAUGGAACUGCUUUCAUGGGCUUGAUACAUGUGAUUUUUCCUGUGUUUUCCCUUGUGUUACUUCACACCACAGGUCAGAGUUUUUGAUCGGGAUUUUAACUUGUUUUUAUUGCAAAGUACCUUUUUCUCACAGUAAUUUCUUGUUUGCUUUUCCCCGGAACAGCGUGAGCAACCUUCCUCAUGAAAUACUUACAAAAAUCUUUGUAUAGCUGAGAUAUAAAAGACACACAGCAUACCCUAAAAAGCAGUGGGGAGAGGUAGUUCUGGGAGUGAGCUGCAAAUAGGAGAUACCAAGUUUUUCCCAACAGGUCCCACAGGGAACAGCCAGCCAUACAGCUGGGUCUUAGGACAGUCCAGUGAUGGCAGCCUGCACAGGCUAAUUUAGGAACACUGGGAUAGCAGUACGGCGUCCUACCAGGAGAUGCUUUCUGCCUCCUAUGGAAGUUUAAAAAAGGAGUGCAAGAAGGUCUCUAAUGUGUUGUGAAACUUUCCCCUCCCCUGUUGCUCAGGGACUUUCUGGGCUGGAGACUUGUGUUCAACAGCCCUUGAUAGAUUUUCCUCCAUGAAUUUGUCAAAUUACAUUUUAAACCAAUUUAUACUUUUGGCUUCCAGAGUUAUCUGUGCCUGAGCUUAAUUAUGUGCCACAUGGAAAAGUGCUUCCUCCGCUCAUUUCAGUUCUGUUGCAAGAUAAUUAAUUUCAUGUCCUUAGGUCUUAGAUGCUGAGAAACAGCCACAAAUCUUCCCCUCCUGCUCUUCACUGCAGCCACCAGCACUUUGACGACCAAGUUGUCUCUUCUCCAGGCUGGAGAGUCCCAGGGUACCCCUCUGUUCCCCGCACAGAUGCUGCUCUGUAACUGUGAUCAUGGCUGUUGCCCUUUCAUUCCUAUAUCCUUUGCGUCAUUUUUGGGAGGAAAGACAGGGACUUGAAGCAGAUGCGGGCACAGUGUGCGAUUCUCCUUUCUGUUCUGUUUGCUCUUCCUUCCCUCACAGUUCCCAGUGUCCUAUUUGCCUCUUCGAUCAUCGUGGAGCAGGGGCUUGACGUUCCUAUGGCACUAUCCGCAGUGACGCCAAGCUCUUUCCUGAGUGAUAAUUGGUGACUCCAUGCCCGAGCGCAGCUCUUUGCUUUUCUUGGUGUUUAUGUGCUUUUCCUGGCUACCUUAUCACCUACUCACCCAAUAACUUUCUCCCACAGAUGGACCUUUGGAUUUCCGAGACGCUGCCUGUGCCAAAUAGUUGUGCUGCUGGCUUGUGUCACAGUCCCAGCGUGGGAGCUGCACUUGAGAUGUUUGGGAGCUAACUUGGCUACCGCUGCCCUACAAGAAGUUUCCACUCUGUUUUCGCUCUUAGUUUUGAAAUGAUUCUCAAAUGUUCCUUAAAACCCCUCUGUACCAAGUGAGUUCUUGUGUGUGCUUCCCUGCUGCUUCCUCCCUCCCAGCUCUCCUCCUGUUCUGCUGCUUCUCUGAGUUUGAAAUGCCAUGCUACUGUGAAGAAGAGUCCCAGAAGAGAGCUGCUUUCUUCUAAUCCUGAACAAGACACCUUACCAACACAGGAAAAAAAACCUGCACUAUUUGUAAAAUUCCUCUUUCCAUCCUCCAGGGUAAAAUGCUCCACAGACCCCUCUGCUCAGCAGAGGGCUAUGCUGCCAGACAAACAGCGUGGGCACCCUUAGGGCUGCUCGGGCAGAAGGAGCAAGAGUCAUUGUGCCAAAGUGUGAAAGAUUAUGUCUGAACUCUCUGUAUCCAUUAGUCUUCCCAAAUACACAGAAUCACUUGCACUGUGAAAUCACAGCAGCAUAUACUCUAUAGUUAUCUCACCCCAUGGCACGAUGGCUGAAAGGAAGGCACCGGGGCACUGCUGGACCCAGACUCAGUGAGGAAGAGAUCUCUUCCGGGAUGUUUGCUGGUACUACCUGCCAUCACACGUCAUUCGGACACACGGACAGGACAAGGACUAGUCUAGGCUGUGUUGUCCUUUUCUUUUAAAACAGGCAAAAAGCAGCAUCCAUAGAGUUGGUUUUGCUUUGAUCAACAAAAACUUAGGCUUAAUGGUACUUUUGCUGUGUGCCUGCAACUGAAGGCACAGUGUACAAAUUACUGGGGAUUGUGCACUUUUUUAACCUAUGUGCAAAACCAGAGUCCCUGAAAGAACAAAAAAGUCGUAACAAUUAAUUCACUGCAGCUGGUAAUGUUAAAAAUCGCACUCUAUGUGUUAAGCUCAUGAUGUGCCUCCGCUAUUGCCGGUUUCCCACAUUCCAAAAACAAUAUAACAGUCUGUCUUCAUGUUAAGCACAAUAACGGUGCAACGUUGCCAUGACUAGGAGCAAUUGUUAAACAGAUCUCCUUAUUACAUAUAAUUACCUCACUGUCUAAGCAAGCAGCCACACAGAGCAGCUUAAUUUUUCUUAAAUUUAAUUGAAGUCUGACAGUAUUGCAAACUCUCAGAACACUGUAACAAAAGGGCUCGGUAUUCAUAAAGUAAUUUGUUGCUAAUUUUGUUCAGUGCUUGAAAAGGUUGCUGGAAGUAGGGGACCACAAAAGCGAAUAUACUGCUCUAAGCUGGAAUUUUUAUCACUUUCUAAAUGACACAGUGAAUGACAGGGAAAAGCUGCAUGAUAGUGGCUGAGUGGGUAUUGAUGGCUGCUGCAGCGCUAAAUGAUGCAUUGGCACAGAAAUACAGUGAAAGAACAAAUCAUCAGUGACUUUUCUAUUUUAUUCUUUCAGGAAGAAAAACCCACAUCAAGAAUUGCAAAACCUGAAUUAGAUUUGUUAAAAAAAAAAAAAGCUAAAGGAAACAGGCAGCAGACAAGCCUGGUUGUGUGCCCACGUUCUCUCACCCAUAGCUGCAUCAGCACAAUAGGCGGGGGUCUCUGAAAAAGUGCAAGAACAGUUUUGAGGAGAUCCAGGUUGUGCUUUUCGUAAAUCUGAGAAGCUCUGGAGCAUGUCUGGAAAACUGCUGGAGGGGGAAAAAAACCCAAAACCCAAAACCAUAAAAUAUGGGAAGAGGAUGGUAUUCUUUCUGCCCACCUUUGUACACCCAGCUCUAGUGCCUAUAUUAAAAAGGUGGUCUUCCUCAUCUGUGGAUGAGGACAAACUCUUCCAGCUGCUUAUGCAGAGCAGGCAGGAAAAAUAGCUCCCUCUCAUCUCUGCUGUCUGAACCAGACUGAACGCAAUGCAUGAUGAAUAAUAAGCAUAAUACCUGCUACUUGGUCUAAUAGAGCAGUGAACUGUGGACCUCCCAGGACACAGCACAAGUUUUCUCCAUUUUGCAUUAAUACACUUUGGGUCUGAGAAGUGUGACCAAUUUACUUGCCCUGUGGUUUAGGCACCCAGAGACACCUAACCCACGUCAACCAGGCGCUACCAGUGCAUGCAUUGGUGUUUGUGGGUCAGGUUCCCAGGCUAGACAAGUUCAGCCCUGCAAUGCAUCAACAGCACAAAAUGUGCGCAGAGUAGGUGGACCUAGAUUUCUCUUUAAGCAGAGAGGGUCCAGGGACUUAUAAACUACGUCAGCUGGGGGGGUGGGCUGGACCGAUGAGUGGUCUGGAAAUUCCUGACACUCAGCGCCCCUUGGCUGGCAGGGCUGAGCUCAGUUCCUGCUAAAACCACAGCGGUUGUACUCCAAAAGUAUGAAGAGUGUAGGAUUAGAAAGGAGAUGACCUCACUGAUGAGAUCUGGACUCCAACCUCCUUUCUCCAUGAGGGGUGAUAGCUGCCGUGCGAAUGACUGCAAGUUCCCUGUAUCCCGAUGUGGUCUGGACAUGAUCAGUGACCUCAUGGGCUUAUUAUUGCUUCUUAUUUCACUUGCAUUUUUUCACUUGAGUUUUUCAUUUACCCAUCCAAUAUUUUAAUU